rnacentral:rRNA from 1 species
AUUGAACGCUGGCGGCAUGCUUUACACAUGCAAGUCGAACGGUAACAGGCCGCAAGGUGCUGACGAGUGGCGAACGGGUGAGUAAUGCAUCGGAACGUGCCCAGUCGUGGGGGAUAACUGCUCGAAAGAGCAGCUAAUACCGCAUACGAUCUGUGGAUGAAAGCGGGGGACCUUCGGGCCUCGCGCGAUUGGAGCGGCCGAUGUCAGAUUAGGUAGUUGGUGGGGUAAAGGCUCACCAAGCCAACGAUCUGUAGCUGGUCUGAGAGGACGACCUGCCACACUGGGACUGAGACACGGCCCAGACUCCUACGGGAGGCAGCAGUGGGGAAUUUUGGACAAUGGGGGCAACCCUGAUCCAGCAAUGCCGCGUGCAGGAAGAAGGCCUUCGGGUUGUAAACUGCUUUUGUACGGAACGAAACGGCCCUUUCUAAUACAGGGGGCUAAUGACGGUACCGUAAGAAUAAGCACCGGCUAACUACGUGCCAGCAGCCGCCGUAACAC